rnacentral:rRNA from 1 species
UACGGAGGGGGCUAGCGUUGUUCGGAAUUACUGGGCGUAAAGCGCACGUAGGCGGAUUUGUUAGUCAGGGGUGAAAUCCCGGGGCUCAACCUCGGAACUGCCUUUGAUACUGCAAGUCUCGAGUCCGAUAGAGGUGGGUGGAAUUCCUAGUGUAGAGGUGAAAUUCGUAGAUAUUAGGAAGAACACCGGUGGCGAAGGCGGCCCACUGGAUCGGUACUGACGCUGAGGUGCGAAAGCGUGGGGAGCAAACAGG